GGAUGAACGCUAGCGGGAGGCUUAACACAUGCAAGUCGAGGGGUAAAUGGUAGCAAUACUAUGAGACCGGCGGACGGGUGCGUAACGCGUAUGCAACAUACCUUGUGCAGGGGGAUAGCCCGUGGAAACGCGGAUUAAUAUUCCAUAGUCCAGCUAUAUCGCAUGGUAUAGUUGGUAAAGAUUUAUCGGCACAAGUUUGGCAUGCGUCUGAUUAGCUUGUUGGUAGGGUAACGGCCUACCAAGGCUACGAUCAGUAGGGGUUCUGAGAGGAUUAACCCCCACACUGGUACUGAGACACGGACCANNCUCCUACGGGAGGCAGCAGUGAGGAAUAUUGGUCAAUGGGCGGAAGCCUGAACCAGCCAUCCCGCGUGAAGGAAGACAGCCUUACGGGUUGUAAACUUCUUUUCUGUCANNANAAUAAGCUUGUCGAGACGAGUGAUGCCGGUAUGACAGGAAUAAGCAUCGGCUAACUCCGUGCCAGCAGCCGCGGUAAUACGGAGGAUGCAAGCGUUAUCCGGAUUUAUUGGGUUUAAAGGGUGCGCAGGUUGUUUGAUAAGUCAGUGGUGAAAGUCUGUCGCUUAACGGUAGGAUUGCCAUUGAUACUGUUAGACUUGAAUAUGGAUGAGGUAGGCGGAAUGUGUAGUGUAGCGGCGAAAUGCAUAGAUAUUACACAGAACACCGAUUGCGAAGGCAGCUUACUAAUCCAUCAUUGACGCUGAGGCACGAAAGCGUGGGGAUCAAACAGGAUUAGAUACCCUGGUAGUCCACGCCGUAAACGAUGAUAACUCGAUGUUUGCAUUUAUGUAAGCGUCUAAGUGAAAACACUAAGUUAUCCACCUGGGGAGUACGAUCGCAAGAUUAAAACUCAAAGGAAUUGACGGGUCCCCGCACAAGCAGCGGAGCGUGUGGUUUAAUUCGAUGCUACACGAAGAACCUUACCUGGGUUUGACAUAGAGGUAGUAGGGAAGCGAAAGCGGACCGACCCUUCGGGGAGCCUCUACAGGUGUUGCAUGGCUGUCGUCAGCUCGUGUCGUGAGAUGUUCGGUUAAGUCCGCUAACGAGCGCAACCCUCGCUGUGUGUUACAAGUGUCACACGGUACUGCCGAUAUUAAGUCGGAGGAAGGUGGGGAUGACGUCAAGUCAGCAUGACCUUUAUAUCCAGGGCUACACACACGCUACAAUGGCCAGUACAAUGGGUUGCCAAGCCGCGAGGCGGAGCCAAUCCUAAAAAGCUGGCCUCAGUUCAGAUUGCAGUCUGCAACUCGACUGCAUGAAGUUGGAGUUGCUAGUAACCGCAGGUCAGCAAUACUGCGGUGAAUACGUUCCCGGGGAU
rnacentral:rRNA from 1 species